GGACAACAAACAGUGGCACGAGCAAUCUCUUUCGUGAUAUAGUGUUGCAAAAAGAUGCGCUUGACAGCUUGUC
ensembl:ncRNA K04H4.10 ncRNA